GCCAGCAGCCAUAUCUCCCUGCAACUCACAACUGGCAACCCACUGAAGCUAAACAGGUGUGAGCCUGGUCAGUACCUGGAUGGGAGACCUCCUGGGAAAAACUAAGGUUGCUGCUGAAA
ensembl:rRNA 5S_rRNA 5S ribosomal RNA